rnacentral:rRNA from 1 species
AGUGAACGCUGGCGGCGUGCUUAACACAUGCAAGUCGAACGGGCAAGUGCCGUAGCAAUACGGAUUACUGCUAGUGGCAGACGGGUGAGUAAUACAUAGGAAUCUGCCUCGGAGUGGGGAAUAACAGUUGGAAACGACUGAUAAUACCCCAUAUUGCCUGAGGGUGAAAGAAUUUCGCUCCGAGAUGAGCCUAUGCAGGAUUAGCUUGUUGGUAGGGUAAUGGCCUACCAAGGCGACGAUCUUUAGCUGGUAUAAGAGGAUGAUCAGCCACACUGGAACUGAGACACGGUCCAGACUCCUACGGGAGGCAGCAGUAGGGAAUAUUGGACAAUGGGGGGAACCCUGAUCCAGCCAUGCCGCGUGAGGGAAGAAGGUCCUCUGGAUUGUAAACCUCUUUUGGCAGGAAACAAACCUGCGCUAUACGCGCAGCUGAGGGUACCUGCAGAAUAAGCACCGGCUAACUCCGUGCCAGCAGCCGUACGG